AUCGCGUCGCCCCCCACACCGUGCAUGAAAUCGUGCCGGUCGUCGUAGGGGCGGAUAUUGGCUUCCCGUGCUUCGGUGCGGCUGGCCUAAAUGCAAGUCCUUGCGGCGGACACGACGACAAGUGGUGGUUGAUUGCCUCAACUAAGUUGUGUCGCCGCUGCCCCGUCGGAUGAGGAGACUUACUUGAGCCUGAUGCAUGGCCGUCACGACGUCUGCAACGACCGC
rnacentral:rRNA from 1 species